GUUCCCGUGUGUCCUUAGAUUGACGACGCAGUUUGUGUGAGCAUAACUCUGCAACGUGUCCGAAAAAGUUGUAGAAGUAAAACAAAACGUGUAUGAUUCUGUACGAAACCGACGGUGAUUGCAUCCACAAAUCUUUAGACGAUAUCGCACAAAAUUCAGCCAUUCGAAAUGACGUUCCUUCACAACAAACAGGCUCAAAACAAAAGAAUUCUGAUACUGGAAAUACGUUGUCUAGCAAUGAAAGCAUGUCUGUUGUCGAUGAAUGAAAGAAAUCUUUAGACGAUAUCGCACAAAAUUCAGCCAUUCGAAAUGACGUUCCUUCACAACAAACAGGCUCAAAACAAAAGAAUUCUGAUACUGGAAAUACGUUGUCUAGCAAUGAAAGCAUGUCUGUUGUCGAUGAAUUG